rnacentral:lncRNA from 1 species
CGCAAUGGGGUUACAUGAUAGCCUACUUUAUGAUGGGGGACCACAUGGUAUAAAGAGGCUGCAUUGGGGUUACAUGAUAGCUUACAUGAUAGUUUUAGUUAAAAUUCAUUAUAUUCAAAUUUUUCUUUUUUUUUCAAAGGUUUAAAGGGCUACACGAUAGAACGUGUAGCCCUCGUGUAAUGUUCUCCCGCAACGGUUACACGAUAGCACAUUUACACGAUAGGGCUAUCGUGUAAUGGC